UGUCAAAUAGCUCAGUUGGUAGAGCGUGAGACUCUUAACCUGGGGGUCGUGGGUUCGAGCCCCACAUUGGGCAA